rnacentral:misc_RNA from 1 species
UGUGCAAACAUAUCAGACAAAGGACUAUUCUAUAUUGCUUCUAAUUGUUCAAAACUUCAUGAACUGGAUCUAUACCGCUGUAUCGGUAUAGGAGAUGAUGGUUUAGCUGCUUUAUCAAGUGGUUGCAAGAAGUUGAAAAAGCUUAACUUGUCAUACUGCAGUGAUAUUACUGAUAGAGGGAUGAAAUUACUAGGGUAUCUGGAGGAGCUCUCUGAUCUGGAAUUGAGAGGACUUGGCAAAAUCACAAGUGUAGGUUUGACGGCAUUUGCAGCCAAGUGUAGGACAAUAGCAGAUUUGGACUUGAAACAUUGUUGGAAUAUUGAUGAUAUGGGAUUCUCAGCACUUGCCUAUUACUCACUGAACCUGCGUCAGAUAAAUUUGAGCUACUGCAAUAUAUCGGACAUGGCAUUAUGCAUGUUGAUGGGAAAUCUGACGCGCUUGCAAGAUGCAAAACUGGUGCUUCUCAAAAAUGUCACUGUGAUAGGGUUUGAGCUUGCGCUUAGGGCUUGCUGUGUCCGGAUCAAAAAGGUUAAGUUGAAUACUGCUCUCAGGUUCAUGUUAACGGAGGAAAUACUUGAGAUUCUGCAUGCCAGGGGUUGCACCAUCAGAUGGGAUUAGAACCAUAUGUACUGAUAAACACCCACAUCCUUGGACUUAUUUUAAAAUCCAAUAAAGUAUUCAUCGAGUUCUUCUCUUCUACUCCCUUCAUCCAUCCCUUCUGACGACUGCUAGCAGAAUUGUAUGCC